GGCUGACGACGAGGCGGGCUGCCCCCCUGCCGCCCCGGCGGCCUCCUCCUCAUCAGGAGCUAAGGGGGUUCCCCGCGAGCGGACUGCGUGGGCUGCGGCUGUGGGUCGGGGAGGCUGUGGGUCCGAGCUGACGGCCAACAGAUGCUGAGUGAUGUGAACACUUCCUACCACUUUCUUUAGCUGGCAGAGGCAAUUCAGGAUUUUCAAACGUGACCUUUAUUCCUGUUGUCUCAGAGAUAUGGUCAGUGCCCCGAUGCCAAGGUCUGUGUGGUAGCCAGAGCUUCAGGUUCAGCAGAAUCCUUGCCGCACUGCUGGAAGCCAGGAUCCAAAAGGGUACCACACAAAUCACCUUGUAAAUCACCUAGAAAAUUGUCAUCCUGAUGGUGUCAGCUGAAACCUUGCUGUGGUUUUGAUUUGCAUUUCCCUGACAACUAAUGAUGCUGAGCAUCUUUGCACGUACUUACGGGCCAGCCAUUCAUCUUCUCUGGAGAAAGGAGUCAUGCUGUUAUUGGAGUGAGUAUGCAUAUGAGAUCCACUGUCUGCCAAGAUUUUUUUCCUGAGAAGGAACAAAUUGUUGACUAUAAAUCAAGUUGGUAUAUUAGCUCUAUGAAGCAGCCAGGUACACCAAGCUUGGGCGAUCUCAUGAAGUGAAAAGUUAAGGAAAGGAUGGAAGAGGUGUAUUACAGAGCAAAGAAUGUGCAACCUGGAGGAGGAACUCAGUCAAUACUUGUGAACCAGUAUGUGGAUCAGUGAGGAGUGAUGUUUAAGGAGGUUUACUCUGGAGGAGGGAGGCUGCAGUCUGAGUAGCUGAGGUCAGUCAUACAGAUUCUGCUUGCCUACAUGACUGACCUCCAAUGAAAACCCUGGACACCAGGACUCAGAUGAGCUUCCUUGACAGAGAGAGAGAGAGGCAGAGACACAGGAGGAGGGAGAUGCAGGCUCCAUGCCAGGAGC